rnacentral:misc_RNA from 1 species
AACCUAGCACACCUGCGGUGUGUACCUGUGGAGGGAUCAUUACACAUAUUACGGGGGGUCGGUCACCCAGAGCGUCGCCUCUUAGCACCUCUGGGCCCUGCCCUGUCUGAAUAUUCUACCCAUGUCUUUUGCGCACUCUUCGUUUCCUCGGUGGGCUUGCCUGCCGAUAGGACACUAUAAAACCUUUUUGUAAUUGCAAUCAGCGUCAGAAAAACUUUUAAUAGUUACAACUUUCAGCAA